rnacentral:precursor_RNA from 15 species
GAAUCCAUGGCUUCGGAUUCAGUGGCGAGCCACUUACCGGCUGAGCCAUGCGCGCUGCGCUGCAUAGCUCAGCCGGUAAGAGGCUUGCCUUUGGAGCAAAAGGUCACGGUUCGA